CAGUCGCCGCGGUAAUACCGAGGGUGCGAGCGUUAAUCGGAUUUACUGGGCGUAAAGCGUGCGUAGGCGGCUUCUUAAGUCGGAUGUGAAAUCCCUGAGCUUAACUUAGGAAUUGCAUUCGAUACUGGGAAGCUAGAGUAUGGGAGAGGAUGGUAGAAUUCCAGGUGUAGCGGUGAAAUGCGUAGAGAUCUGGAGGAAUACCGAUGGCGAAGGCAGCCAUCUGGCCUAAUACUGACGCUGAGGUACGAAAGCAUGGGGAGCAAACAGGAUUAGAGACCCCGGUAGUCCCUGUCUCUUAUAA
rnacentral:rRNA from 1 species